rnacentral:rRNA from 1 species
CGCAGCCGCGGUAAUUCCAGCUCCAAUAGCGUAUAUUAAAGUUGUUGCAGUUAAAAAGCUCGUAGUUGAAUUUCGGGGUUAGUAGGUUGGUCAUGCCUCUGGUAUGUACUGGUCUCACUGAUUCCUCCUUCCUGAUGAGCCGUAAUGCCAUUAAUUUGGUGUUGCGGGGAAUUUGGACUGUUACUUUGAAAAAUUAGAGUGUUUAAAGCAAGCUAACGCUUGAAUACAUUAGCAUGGAAUAAUGAAAUAGGACGUUCGAUCCUAUUUUGUUGGUUUCUAGGAUUGACGUAAUGAUUAAUAGGGAUAGUUGGGGGCAUUAGUAUUCAAUUGUCAGAGGUGAAAUUCUUGGAUUUAUUGAAGACUAACUACUGCGAAAGCAUUUGCCAAGGAUGUUUUCAUUAAUCAAGAACGAAAGUUAGGGGAUCGAAGACGAUCAGAUACCGUCGUAGU